CGACGGAGAGGGAGGAGGUGGGCCCACCACAAUCUUCCCCUGGGGACCCCUUUUCCCAUGUGAAUGUUUGCCGGGUGGACUCGAAAUCUUCCGCAAAUCUUCCCGUGACGAUGCCACCGAAUAUUAAUUACCCGGAAAAGGGAUCCCGAGCUUCCCUGUUCGACCAAACCAACCGCCUCUCAUAAAUGGGAAACUUCUCUCAUCCCUUCAAAUCGAAAGAAAAUUUUCCCCACCGCUGCCUGAUCAGCCUCGCGGCAGAGACCUUCAAUGAAUCCGCUGUUUUAAUGCAGUUCAGAAUGAGAAGGAGAUCAAAUGAUUAAAUGAUUGAAGUUCACCUUUCAUAUCGAAUGCAAGCACCAUGGGGACAGACGAUGAUGGCAUAUCAUGUAUGAUUGUCCAGGAC